UACGAAGGGGGCUAGCGUUGCUCGGAAUCACUGGGCGUAAAGGGUGCGUAGGCGGGUUUUAAGUCAGGGGUGAAAUCCUGGAGCUCAACUCCAGAACUGCCUUUGAUACUGAGAAGCUUGAGUUCGGGAGAGGUGAGUGGAACUGCGAGUGUAGAGGUGAAAUUCGUAGAUAUUCGCAAGAACACCAGUGGCGAAGGCGGCUCACUGGCCCGAUACUGACGCUGAGGUGCGAAAGCGUGGGGAGCAAACAGGG
rnacentral:rRNA from 1 species